rnacentral:rRNA from 1 species
AUACGUAGGUGACAAGCGUUAUCCGGAUUUACUGGGCGUAAAGGGCGUGUAGGCGGUCUUGCAAGUCAGAAGUGAAAUUCCUGAGCUCAACUCGGGCGCUGCUUCUGAAACUGCAGGACUUGAGUGCUGGAGGGGAUAGCGGAAUUCCUAGUGGAGCGGUAAAAUGCGCAGAUAUUAGGAAGAACACCGGUGGCGAAGGCGGCUAUCUGGACAGUAACUGACGCUGAGGCGCGAAAGCGUGGGGAGCAAACAGGAUUAGAUACCCUGGUAGUCCACGCUGUAAACGAUGCUUACUAGGUGUGGGGGGACUGACCCCCUCCGUGCCGGCGUUAACACAAUAAGUAAGCCACCUGGGGAGUACGACCGCAAGGUUGAAACUCAAAUGAAUUGACGGGG